GACGAACGCUGGCGGCGUGCUUAACACAUGCAAGUCGAACGGAAAGGCCCUGCUUGCAGGGUACUCGAGUGGCGAACGGGUGAGUAACACGUGGGUGAUCUGCCCUGCACUUCGGGAUAAGCCUGGGAAACUGUGUCUAAUACCGGAUAGGAGCCAUUUUUAGUGUGAUGGUUGGAAAGUUUUUUCGGUGUAGGAUGAGCUCGCGGCCUAUCAGCUUGUUGGUGGGGUAAUUGCCUACCAAGGCGGCGACGGGUAGCCGGCCUGAGAGGGUGGACGGCCACAGUGGGACUGGGAUACGGCCCAGACGCCUACGGGGGGCAGCAGUGGGGAAUAUUGCACAAUGGGCGCAAGCCUGAUGCAGCGACGCCGCGUGGGGGAUGACGGCCUUCGGGUUGGAAACUCCUUUCGCUAGGGACGAAGCUUUUUGUGACGGUACCUAGAUAAGAAGCACCGGCUAACUACGUG
rnacentral:rRNA from 1 species